CGUCUUCCUGUGAAAAUUCAGCCCCUCUUCCUCAGUUACCCCUUUGCAACAGAACGAGGCCGGCAUUUUCUAAAGCGUCCUUGAGGAGUCCAGUUCCUAAAAGAUUAUUUCAGAGUCCACUGUUGUGGGCUGACUUGAAUGCUCUCAAAAUUCGUAAGUUGAAGCCCUGACCCCCAGGACCUCAGAACGUGACUGUGCUUGGACACAGGGACUUUCCAGAGGUGAUUAAGGUGAAGUGAGGUCACUGGAUGGCCCUCCUCCUAUCUGACUGGUGUCCUGAUGGGGACGCGGACACCCACACAGGAACGGACCCGGGGAGAACAACACAUCGUCUCUGCGCCAGGGAGAGAGGCGUCCGGGGAACCCAGCCGUGCCCACGCAUUUAUCUCCGCCUUCCGGCUCAGAAUUGUGAGGAAACCCGCUUCUGUUGUGCAAGUCCCGGGUCUGUGGUGCUCGGCCAUGGCGCCCCCAGAACUGCAUCCCCACCUUCUGCUCUGAGCCACCCAUCCCCUCUGGAAGGGCUGAGCUUCUCUCCCUUUCCACCUUCUGUUCUGAGCCACCCGUCCCCUCCAGAAGGGCUGAGCUUCUCUCUCUUUCACUGCCUAUGCUCUGGGAAACUUUCAGAAUCCCCAGGCUGUUUCUGGAAUAGUCUGGGAUGGUCAUUUUCGGUCCUCACAGAACCGGGGGUUUGGAAAGUAGGUGAAGCCAUAUGGGUUGCAGAGAAUCUGGCCCAGCCCCUCACUAGUCCCUGUGCUUGUUAGUUAUUCUUUAAUUACUUGGAUAUCAACUCUGAUUUAAAACAUCAAUUUAACAUACAGAUAAUGCUGGGACUGCAGCUUCGCCAGGUGGCCUUCCUCUCCCGGUCUCGGGAGGCGUCACCCCCAUCUUGUCCCCCCAAGAUCAAGCGAAAAGGGCAAAGUUAUCUUUUUUUUUUGCAAAAUUCAAACCUUUCCCUCCUUCCCAGGUCUGGGUCACUUGCGACCCUCCUCUCAGGCUGCUUCUGACAGGCCCAAGUCACAGCCAACUUCAGGGGAGCUGUGUUGGAUCCCUCCAAACUCCGGGAAUGAUGUGACCUCCCCGGCGCUCACCCUGGGCCUCUAGGUUAGACUCAGCCCAGACCCUGGCUCACAGGGAAGCAGAGCCCAUGGCUGGCCUCCACCCGCUCAGACGCCCGCACACAGGCCAGGGGAGGGCUUGGGGGCAGCUCUGGGAGGGUCCCUGUUUGCGCUGUGGGUGUCCAAGGCUGGGUGUGCAGAGCUGAGGUUGCCACACACCUGAGGGACUCUCGCAUAAGGAUGGCGCAGGGCUGGAAGCUGGACUGAGACAGUGAAUGAGACAGCGCUGCCGGCUCUCUCCGCGCCGUGGACUGGCUCCUAGGCAGUCUCACGAGCAAGUGUGCUGUUGCUCGUGCACGUGUGUUUUAACUGAGAUGUGAGCUGGCGCGUUUUCUCCACCCGGCUCCAUCUGCUGGGUCCCUCCACAUUGCUGCGCGUGUGCCUCCAGUGCCAUGGGGUCCCCACUGUGGGCAGCCCUGCAUUUUGCCCAACUGCCUCCCAAACCAUGGAACCCCAGUGACCUCCAACUUGCCGCCAUGACGAGCCACUCUCAUUCAUAUCCUCAAACACGGUGCUCUGAGCCCGAAUGAGGGUUUCUUUAGAGAGAUAUCUGGGGACCAAACUGUAGGGACAGAGCUCCCGUCUAAGGUGGGCCUGUGGUGAGGUCUCCCCAGUGGUACACUUUAAUCCCACAGCAGGGCUUGCAGGCCGCCCUGCUCCAUCCCCACCAACACUGGGCAGGAUCUAGCCUCCAAACCUUUGCCAGUCUAAUAGUAUAAAAUGAUAGCUCGGUGCUAUUUUGGUUUUGCAUUUCCAUGGUGAACAAUGAGUUUGAGAGUUUUUGUUCAAAAGUCCUUUGGGAGUUCGAGACCAGACUGGGCCACCAGGAGUUCAAGACCAGCCCGGGCAAUUCAGUGAGAUGUUCAUCUCUACAAAAAAUAAGAAAGAUAAAAAAUUAGCCAGGCAUGUUUGUGUGUGCCUGUGGUCCCAGCUCCUCAGGAGGCUGAGGUGGGAGGAUGGCUUGACCCCGGGAGGUGGAGGCUGCAGUGAGUUGUGAUCGUGUCAGUGCACGGCUAGCCUGGGCAACAGAGUGAGACCCCGUUUCUAAAAUAAAAAUAAAAAACAAAAGAGAAAAGUC
rnacentral:lncRNA from 1 species